GGACCCGCACAAGCGGUGGAGCGUGUGGUUUAAUUCGAUGCUAAGCGAAGGACCUUACCAAGGUUUGACAUGCUAAUGGUAGUGAAUUGAAAGAGGAACGACCACACUAUGUGUGGAGUUAGCACAGGUGGUGCACGGCCGUCGUCAGCUCGUGUCGUGAGGUGUUGGGUUAAGUCCCGCAACGAGCGCAACCCCUGCUCUUAGUUACCAGCGGUAAGGCCGGGUACUCUAGGAGGAAGGGGGGGAUGAAGUCAGGUAUCGUGCCCCUUAUAUCUUGGGCGACACACGCGCUACAAUGGGUUGGACAGAAGGGACCAAGACAGCGAUGUGGAGGAAAUCCUCAAACCAACCCCCAGUUCAGAUUGCAGGCUGCAACCCGCCUGCAUGAAGCCGGAAUCGCUAGUAAUCGCAGAUCAGCCAAGCUGCGGUGAAUACGUUCCCGGGUCUU
rnacentral:rRNA from 1 species